AUUUUAUGGUUUGGGCAUUGAGUCAACUUCUUUUUAAACCUCCCCCAAGUCUCAUGAAAAGAUUCAUUAGCCAAUUGUCUAAAGCUGUUGAUCUCAUCCCUUAACU
rfam:Capsicum annuum cultivar Zunla-1 chromosome 11, whole genome shotgun sequence